UCUUCCCGCGGCGACGCCCAGGCCACCAAGGCCGGAGCGCACUUGGAACGCGAGCGGGAGCCUGAGACGCCCGGACCAACGUCUCAGAGCUGGGCCCUACGCAGCCUGCGAAGUUUCCGGCCCAUGGGACGGACGCGCCCGAAUGGUCGAGAGGAGCAAACUUGGCGCUCGCACACUCAGAGAGACACCCCACACCGUGGACCACACACCAACUGCAGCCCAGCACGGCUCCGCUAGUGUCUGAGUUACGGAGAGAAAGCGAGCAUGGUCCCUGCCACCCGGUGUCCCGGUGUCCCCUCCGGGGAGUCCUCAUUUCUGACAUGCUGGACGGGAGCCCACACUGCCUUCCUCGCCAGCACUCUUGGUCCCCAGGCUCCAGCUCUCCAGCUGGCUUCAAGGGAUUGGAGCAGCCAGCACUCGUCCUCCUUCCUUCAGGACUCCAACUCAGAGCCUGCCUCUUCCAAGAAACUCGCUCUGUUAAGCCUCCAGAGCCCUGCCCUGCACAACUCAAGGAGACAGACUGAUCUCCAGUCAUGCUGCUUUAAUCCUGAGAUGGAGCAAAAAAAUGUAUAUUUUAUAAGCGAAAUGCUGCAUUUGCGCUACAUAAAGAAGUCCUUGCCUUUGUUCAGAGGAAGGAAAUGGUGAGUGGGGUGAGCACUUGGUUCAGCUGUUAGGUGCCCUCUUGGGAUGCCCACAUCCAUACAGGAGUGCCCGGUUCCAGUCCCAGCUGUGCUUCCAAUCCAGCCUCUUCUAAUGUGCACCCUUGGAGGCAGCUGGCUCAAGUGUUUGGACCCCUGCCUCCGACAUGGGACACUGAGAUUGGGUUCCAGGCACCUGGCUGCUACCUGACCACUGCAGUCCCAGCUGUUGCAGAUGUUUGGGAAGCGAGCCAGUAAGUGACACAUUCUCUCUCUCUCUCUCUCAAUAAACGUGAUAAUAAAUAAAUAAAAAGUUUUUUU
rnacentral:lncRNA from 1 species